GUCGCAGAUAGACAGCAUAUCAUUUCAAUAAGGCAUGAAUAAUAUAGGACCCUCUGAAGCCUCUGGCCCUAGAACAGAGAAGGAGAUGGGAAUUGCAAAGGGUUAAUGUGGGUCUGGCUUUUCCAUCCUCAGGGUUACAGCUGAGGAAGUCCACAGGGAGCCUGGGGCCCAGCGUCCUCCAAUUUUCACUACAUAACCGAGACAAUAGUCAAUUGGAGCAGGAGCACAUGCAAAGGAAGGCCUCAGUACCACAGCAUGGCUCAUAUGGAUUGUGCCUGAAAGAUGAGCAGUAUUUUUCUGCAAAUGCAUGCCAGCUAAAUACAUCAAGCAGCUCUGGUCGGUGUGGUUGAACAGCUGAGUGUCCCAGCGAGGGGCCAAGAUGACGCUGAAGGUCUGCCUCAUCCUGUGCAGGUGUUUGAACAGCUG
rnacentral:lncRNA from 1 species